UAGUACGGCGAGUGAAGCGGGAAGAGCUCAAGCUUAAAAUCUCCGUGCAAGUUUUGUGCGGCGAAUUGUAGUCUAUAGAAGCGUGGUCAGCAUGGGCACUUGGGGCAAGUUCCUUGGAAGAGGACAGCAUGGAGGGUGAUACUCCCGUUCAUUUCUGAGUUGCUCGUGCGUACGACCCGUUUUCUUUGAGUCGCGUUGUUUGGGAAUGCAGCGCAAAGUAGGUGGUAAAUUCCAUCUAAAGCUAAAUAUUGGUGCGAGACCGAUAGCGAACAAGUACCGUGAGGGAAAGAUGAAAAGAACUUUGAAAAGAGAGUUAAAGAGUACCUGAAACUGCUGAAAGGGAACCGAAUCGUUUCCAGUGUCUAUAAUCCGUGGUAUAUUUCAUUGGCGAGUGUGUGCGUGCGUGUGCUGUGGCAGCGGCUUUUUUGGCUGCGCUCGGCGUGUGUGCUGUGUGUGCUUGCUGGUGCUCUGUGCUGCGGUGGGACGUCAAGGUCAGUUCGUAUGCUGCGGGAAAUGGCUGCCGAGGAGGUAGGGCUUACGCUUGCGUUUGUCUGUUAUAUCUUGGUGGACGAGUAGUCGCGGUUGGGACUGAGGUGCCUACAACGUGCUUUUGAGUGGGUUUGUGUCUCCGUGUGCGCCGUGUGCGGAUAGCUUGCUAUGCGUGUGUGGUUGUGUGUGGAUUGAUGCGAGCUUUAACUUGUUGCCGUUC
rnacentral:rRNA from 1 species